GGGAAUCCCUCUUAGAGGGAGCAGUGCUGAGCUCCAACCCUUAAAUGUGGCAAAAACUUCUGGACUCUGUCUUGGAACUCCGCUCCGUAUAUCUAACCACAGUUCUGCUUCUGCCGGAAGGCUUCAAGUGUGUUCAGAAUGUACUCUUUGGAGGAAAUGGACCCCCUUUUAAAUACUGUGUGAGAGUACAGGCACAUAAUCCAUUAUGGACAUUCUGAAAUCCACAGUUCCUGCGAAUGGAGGAGAAAUGAAGGCAAAUGGAGCGGAAUCCAAGGGAUAUUGGAAAGGCAGAACAAUAAUGGAGUGGAACUAAAGGAAAUCCUUCAUGCAUUUAAUGUCACCAUGAAGAGCUGAGGAUCAAGGUCAGUAAAAAAAGUGCAGAUGAAUCCUUAAUAUGGAGGAAUGGUGGAAGUUGCUGGAUAAGUUUAACCUGGAGAAAAGAAGACUAAGGGAAGAUGUGACAGAUGCCCUCAAAUGUCUAAAUGGCUGCCCCAUAGAAAGAGGAGCAGAUGGGUGUGUGUGUGUGUGUGUGUGUGUGU